AAAGAUGAUUAAUUAUUACUUACAAUAAUAAAAACCUUUUGGCAUCUUUU
rnacentral:tRNA from 1 species